GGAGAGUUGGCCGAGUGGUUGAAGGCGGUAGUCUUGAAAACUAUUUAGGCAGUGAUGUCUACGGGGGUUCGAAUCCCUCACUCUCCGCCA
rnacentral:tRNA from 1 species